rnacentral:lncRNA from 1 species
ACAUGGUAACUUCAAACCUAAAGAUCAUCCAACACGAUGGCCUGCUAGUAUAGGAAGGUAAAAUAGAUAGACCAAUUUAUCCAUUGGACUAAUCUGUCAAACUGUAAAUAAAUGGGAGAUAAAAAAAAAUUAUAGUAAGGGGCCACCACUAUUUGCCCUAAAACUUUCAGCAACUACAGAAAACAAAAAGGCACCUGACAACCGAAUACACAAAGGAAAAAUUAUAAAGAUUCUAGCAAACUACACGAAACACAAGAGUAACACCACUAGUAGGUCUGGAAUACAGACAAGAACAAGCUGGCUUCAAAGAUCUUCGUCGGAAUCAUCGCCACGUGCCGCCUCAGUCUUUGGUAAUGUGAUGUACAUGCUGUUGCCUCUACUACUCUAUGCACCUGCCAUGCAGCUCUGCCUCAUCAUUUAGAGUUGGAACAUGGUGUCCGUCGUUCACCAUGGGUCUAGUUUGACCAAAAAAUGGAUUUGCAGGGUUGGUUCUAUUGAUUUCAACACUUUUUGUACAUACCAAUCUCUGAUACCAAUUUGUGAUGAAAGUACUUGCCAUUAGCUUUCAAUUGAUGUACAUAAAGGGGAUCAGUUUAUAAAUCCAAUAUCUACACCAUAAAAAUCCUCCAAAAUCCAAAGCUCGACCUAAAAAAUAUAUACUAAGUUUACCCAAGUACAUGUAUAACCCACAAAGGAUAAUAUCUCACAAAGAGGAGGAGAAUAUAGCUGCUUACUCACAAAGAGGAAGAGAUAAAAAAUCACGACAUUUUGCUUCACAAAGAGGAAUGGCUGCUAUUUAUUUCUCUUUUGUCCCAAAUGCAUGCUCGCAGGGCAACCCACAAAAUGGG